rnacentral:lncRNA from 1 species
UGAUUGACUAAAUGAAGUUCCAGUUAACUAAAACUUGGAGUAGAUCACUUAAAUCGGCCUUCCCUGAAAGGGCAUACUCCCUGAUUAACACUCCUGGCCCCUGCACCAGCAUGUCUAGAUACAUGGAAAAGCUGAUUCAUUUUCUUUCUUUUUUUUUUUUUUAGAUUCAUUAUCUUGGUACAUGAGAUAUAUCCAGUGUCUAAAAUGAAACAAUUUUAGUAAAAAUACAAGAAAGUGUUUAGAACUUCAGAUUAUGGGAGUUCCUGUCAUGGCGCAGGGGAAAGGAAUCCAACUAGGAACCACGAGGUUGUGGGUUCAAUCCCGGGCCUCGCUCAGUCGUGGGUUAAGGAUCUGGCGUUGCCAUGAGCUGUGGUGUGGGUCACAGAUGAGGCUCAGAUCCCACGUUGCUGUGGCUGUGGUGUAGGCCAGUGGCUACAGCUCUGAAUCCACCCCUAGCCUGGCUGGGAACUUCCAUAUGCUAUGGGUGCAGCCCUGAACAACAACAACAAAAAAUUGAGAAAAUAGACUGAAAAAGGAUCCCAGACACUUAAACAGUGAUGUACAUAAGGUUUUAGUGAACUUUAUUUUUUAUUGUACUUUGACCACUCAAAAGACUGUUGAGCUUAUGGGUUUUUUAGAUAACUAAAUUCUUAAUAGAUGAAAUAUUGCAGCAUAAUAAUCAUUUAGUUAAUAGUUGGGUAUGCAGUUAAUAAAUAUAAACAGAGAUUUGAGAAACCCAAAUAGUGAGUUCUAGUUCUGCUCUCUUCUCUGAGUCAUCCUGAUUAUACUACUUAUUUAUCUAAUCUUUUAGGUUUUACAUGUACUUUUUAAAUGGGGUCUUUAAAAAGUUUUUUUCACUUUCUGUGUAAAUAUUUACAAAAAGAAUCUGUCUAUAGUUCAAAGCCUUUGUGUAAUCUUUCACAAUUUAAUCCAACAAAAGAGCAGACAGGGACAUGCCUACAUGGGCUCUGGUCCAUCAGUGUUUUUCUGAAAGAGCUGGGAUGUUUACAUUCUUAGGAAGGAAAGAAGAACAGAGAAUACCAUUCCAUAUUUGUACUUGUUCGUUUUCCUGCAUCAUGGUGGCUGCUUUAUAACAGCUCAUAACGGUUAUACUGCAGCAUUAUUUCUGCUUGUUGAAUCACAUUGGUAUGCAGAUUCCUAAGUAUGUAGCCCCAUGGAUUAGGCCCCUCAUUCCUGUCAAAGAGAGUUAUUUACUCUGGGAAUCUUUCCAAAGUUGCUACCAGGAAUGCUUUUUACUUUUAUGGUGACUUGGUCCCUAAGGAUAAAGACAAUCAUCCAAAGGGAAAACUUUUUGCCCAGUAUCUAGACAUUUAUUGGUGACCAGGGCAGAAAAGUUCCUAGUCUUCAAAACUCAACAUGAGAACAGAUUAUUGAGCUUGAAUUGAGGAACGGAAUAUAGAAUAAUCAAAAGAUCCUAGUGUCUCCUUGUCCUUGCACCCAUGACCUGACUUGAAUAUACAAUUUAAGAAUCAUUUCAGGAGCUUCCGUUGUGGCUCAGCAGAAACGAAUCUGACUAGCAUCCAUGAGGAUGCAGGUUCAAGUCCUGUCCUCGCUUAGUGGGUUAAGGAUCCAGUGUUGCCAUGGGCUUCAUUGUAGGUUGCAGAUCUGGCAUUGCUGUGGCUGUGGUGUAGGCUGGCCGCCACAGCUCUGAUUCAAUCCCU